ACCUGGCUGGCUCAGUCAGAAGAGCAUGCGACUCUUGAUCUCAGAAUCGUGAGUUCCAGUCCCACACUGGGUG
rnacentral:tRNA from 1 species